AAAAAAAAAAAAAAAAAAAAAGAAAAGAAAAAAAAAGAAAAGAAAAAGGAUCAGGGGCCUCUCCCACCUCCCUUUGCCCAGACC
rnacentral:rRNA from 18 species